UACGUAGGGUGCAAGCGUUGUCCGGAAUUAUUGGGCGUAAAGAGCGUGUAGGCGGUUCGGUAAGUCUGCCGUGAAAUCCUGGGGCUCAACCCCGGGCGUGCGGUGGAUACUGCCGGGCUAGAGGGUGGUAGAGGCGAGUGGAAUUCCUGGUGUAGCGGUGGAAUGCGCAGAUAUCAGGAGGAACACCAAUAGCGAAGGCAGCUCGCUGGGACGUUACUGACACUGAGGCGCGAAAGCGUGGGGAGCGAACAGG
rnacentral:rRNA from 1 species